AUUGAACGCUGGCGGCAGGCCUAACACAUGCCAGUCGAGCGGAUGAAGGGAGCUUGCUCCUGGAUUCAGCGGCGGACGGGUGAGUAAUGCCUAGGAAUCUGCCUGGUAGUGGGGGAUAACGUCCGGAAACGGGCGCUAAUACCGCAUACGUCCUGAGGGAGAAAGUGGGGGAUCUUCGGACCUCACGCUAUCAGAUGAGCCUAGGUCGGAUUAGCUAGUUGGUGGGGUAAAGGCCUACCAAGGCGACGAUCCGUAACUGGUCUGAGAGGAUGAUCAGUCACACUGGAACUGAGACACGGUCCAGACUCCUACGGGAGGCAGCAGUGGGGAAUAUUGGACAAUGGGCGAAAGCAUGAUCCAACCAUGCCGCGUGUGUGAAGAAGGUCUUCGGAUUGUAAAGCCCUUUAAGUUGGGAGGAAGGGCAGUAAGUUAAUACCUUGCUGUUUUGACGUUACCAGCAGAAUAAGCACCGGCUAACUUCGUG
rnacentral:rRNA from 1 species